rnacentral:tRNA from 1 species
ACCCAGCUGGCUCAGUUGGAAGAGCACAAGACUCUUGAUCUCAGCAUUGUGAGUUCGAGCCCCACGUUGGGUG